UACGGGGGGAGCAAGCGUUGUUCGGAUUUACUGGGCGUAAAGGGCGCGUAGGCGGCCAGCACAAGUCAGUUGUGAAAUCUCCGAGCUUAACUCGGAAAGGUCAACUGAUACUGUGCGGCUAGAGUGCAGAAGGGGCAACUGGAAUUCUUGGUGUAGCGGUGAAAUGCGUAGAUAUCAAGAGGAACACCUGAGGUGAAGACGGGUUGCUGGGCUGACACUGACGCUGAGGCGCGAAAGCCCAGGGGAGCAAACGGG
rnacentral:rRNA from 1 species